GAUCCUGGCUCAGAACGAACGCUGGCGGCGUGCCUUACACAUGCAAGUCGAGCGAGGCGGGGAGCAAUCCCCAGUCGAGCGGCGAACGGGUGAGUAACGCGUGGAUGACCUGCCUCUGAGUGGGGGAUAACCCGGGGAAACUCGGGCUAAUACCGCAUAACAUUGAGAGAUCAAAGGGGGCUCGCAAGGGCUCUCGCUUGGAGAGGGGUCCGCGUCCGAUUAGCUAGUUGGUGAGGUAAUGGCUCACCAAGGCGACGAUCGGUAGCCGGCCUGAGAGGGUGAUCGGCCACACUGGAACUGAGACACGGUCCAGACUCCUACGGGAGGCAGCAGGUCU
rnacentral:rRNA from 1 species